rnacentral:ncRNA from 1 species
GCGCCGGUUACUCCACCCAUAUAACAGGCUCGACCCCAAAAAGGAGGAAAUGAUUCCAACCGCCCGACUUGCGGUGCGGCAGCGUGGAGACCUGCCGUAUGCGGCGCAUGGCAUCGCCCGUGGCCGUGAGGUGCGAUUUUGCGGAGGCAGUCGCAUCAAAGUCUGCUUUUAUGG